AGCUUCUGUUGAAUGACGUGCUUGCCCUGAUUUUAACAAUGCAGCGAGUGGCGAACUGGUGAGUAACACGUGGGAAAUCUGCCCAGAAGCAGGGGAUAACACUUGGAAACAGGUGCUAAUACCGUAUAACAACAAAGUCCGCAUGGAUUUUGUUUGAAAGGUGGCUUCGGCUAUCACUUCUGGAUGAUCCCGCGGCGUAUUAGUUAGUUGGUGAGGUAAAGGCCCACCAAGACGAUGAUACGUAGCCGACCUGAGAGGGUAAUCGGCCACAUUGGGACUGAGACACGACCAAAAUUUUUACGGGAGGCAGCAGUAGGGAAUCUUCCACAAUGGACGAAAGUCUGAUGGAGCAAUGCCGCGUGAGUGAAGAAGGGUUUCGGCUCGUAAAACUCUGUUGUUAAAGAAGAACACCUUUGAGAGUAACUGUUCAAGGGUUGACGGUAUUUAACCAGAAAGCCACGGCUAACUACGUGCCAGCAGCCGCGGUAAUACGUAGGUGGCAAGCGUUGUCCGGAUUUAUUGGGCGUAAAGCGAGCGCAGGCGGUUUUUUAAGUCUGAUGUGAAAGCCUUCGGCUUAACCGGAGAAGUGCAUCGGAAACUGGGAGACUUGAGUGCAGAAGAGGACAGUGGAACUCCAUGUGUAGCGGUGGAAUGCGUAGAUAUAUGGAAGAACACCAGUGGCGAAGGCGGCUGUCUAGUCUGUAACUGACGCUGAGGCUCGAAAGCAUGGGUAGCGAACAGGAUUAGAUACCCUGGUAGUCCAUGCCGUAAACGAUGAGUGCUAAGUGUUGGAGGGUUUCCGCCCUUCAGUGCUGCAGCUAACGCAUUAAGCACUCCGCCUGGGGAGUACGACCGCAAGGUUGAAACUCAAAGGAAUUGACGGGGGCCCGCACAAGCGGUGGAGCAUGUGGUUUAAUUCGAAGCUACGCGAAGAACCUUACCAGGUCUUGACAUCUUCUGCCAAUCUUAGAGAUAAGACGUU
rnacentral:rRNA from 2 species